UCAACAUUCGGACCGUUGGUCUACCGAGCAAGUACACCCGCUCGGUGGAAGGUCUUCCUUUCGUCGU
rnacentral:pre_miRNA from 1 species